rnacentral:tRNA from 1 species
UCAGUCGUGGCCGAGUGGUUAAGGUGAUGGACUAGAAAUCCAUUGGGGUCUCCCCGCACAGGGUUAAUCCUGUCGACUGCG